rnacentral:lncRNA from 1 species
CUUUGUUGUUUAAAACAUGAUUUUCCUAAAAGUUACAUUUUUCUGAACAGCACUUAUUUUCUAUAUAAAUGAAUCAUAAAUGCUACUUGGCACUUGAUCCAAGCAACUUAAUUCUGAUUGGUUAUUUUUGUAUUUCUGUAGUGGAAUAACAAACCAGCUACAUAUUAGGUUCUUAGUCGAAGGCUAUUUUGUUCUGCAAUCAGACCCAUCAUUAUUUCCCCCUUCCUUAAUCUUAGCAUCAAACAAAAUAAAUUUUAAUAUAUUUUCCAUUCAAUGAUGGUAUAUAUUUUUGUCUUAUUGUAGCUAUGAUAGCCUUGGAACAACAGAUUUUUAUAUAAGUCAAACACAAACCUUUAUUUUUGAGACUAUAUAAUUUGUAUCUUCAGAUUUGUAUUUUCAUUGAGAUAAUCAUUAAACACUAAACAAAACAUAGAUUUAUGGAUGUGGGAAUUUAUAUGUGUAUUUCAGCUUAAAGAAUUGAUAUCAGAGAUAUUAUAUUCAGUCAAUGUGUCAUCAUAAACAAGGGAGAUAAUCUUAAGAGUUGUACAAUGUAGCAAUGACCACAAACUGUUUAUUUUAUUAAACUUCAAUCAUUCUCUGUCUUUAUGUAUUUCAUGUUUUUAAGGUAUAAAACUAGCGAAGGAAUUAAUUGAAAUAGAGAUCAAAUGUAUUUAUUUACUGCAGACGACAGUUUUUUCCUUUUUAUAAACAUAUUUUUAUGACAAUAGUUUUUCU